rnacentral:rRNA from 1 species
UUGAGGCGCGGCUACACAUGCAGUCGAGCGAGCUCUUCGGAGCUAGCGGCGGACGGGUUAGUAACGCGUGGGAACGUGCCCUUCACUGCGGAAUAGCCACUGGAAACGGUGAGUAAUACCGCAUACGCCCUUCGGGGGAAAGAUUUAUCGGUGAAGGAUCGGCCCGCGUUAGAUUAGAUAGUUGGUGGGGUAACGGCCUACCAAGUCUACGAUCUAUAGCUGGUUUUAGAGGAUGAUCAGCAACACUGGGACUGAGACACGGCCCAGACUCCUACGGGAGGCAGCAGUGGGGAAUCUUGGACAAUGGGCGCAAGCCUGAUCCAGCCAUGCCGCGUGAGUGAUGAAGGCCUUAGGGUCGUAAAGCUCUUUCGCCAGAGAUGAUAAUGACAGUAUCUGGUAAAGAAACCCCGGCUAACUCCGUGCCAGCAGCCGCGGUAAUACGGAGGGGGUUAGCGUUGUUCGGAAUUACUGGGCGUAAAGCGCACGUAGGCGGAUCAGAAAGUUGGGGGUGAAAUCCCGGGGCUCAACCCCGGAACUGCCUCCAAAACUCCUGGUCUUGAGUUCGAGAGAGGUGAGUGGAAUUCCGAGUGUAGAGGUGAAAUUCGUAGAUAUUCGGAGGAACACCAGUGGCGAAGGCGGCUCACUGGCUCGAUACUGACG